GACGAACGCUGGCGGCGUGCUUAACACAUGCAAGUCGAACGCUGAAGCUUGGUGCUUGCACUGGGUGGAUGAGUGGCGAACGGGUGAGUAAUACGUGAGUAACCUGCCCUUGACUCUGGGAUAAGCCUGGGAAACUGGGUCUAAUACUGGAUACGACAUGUCACCGCAUGGUGGUGUGUGGAAAGGGUUUUACUGGUUUUGGAUGGGCUCACGGCCUAUCAGCUUGUUGGUGGGGUAAUGGCUCACCAAGGCGACGACGGGUAGCCGGCCUGAGAGGGUGACCGGCCACACUGGGACUGAGACACGGCCCAGACUCCUACGGGAGGCAGCAGUGGGUAAUAUUGCACAAUGGGCGGAAGCCUGAUGCAGCGACGCCGCGUGAGGGAUGACGGCCUUCGGGUUGUAAACCUCUUUCAGCACGGAAGAAGCGAAAGUGACGGUACGUGCAGAAGAAGCGCCGGCUAACUACGUG
rnacentral:rRNA from 1 species